rnacentral:rRNA from 1 species
GAUGAACGCUGGCGGCGUGCCUAAUACAUGCAAGUCGAGCGAACAGACGAGGAGCUUGCUCCUCUGACGUUAGCGGCGGACGGGUGAGUAACACGUGGAUAACCUACCUAUAAGACUGGGAUAACUUCGGGAAACCGGAGCUAAUACCGGAUAAUAUAUUGAACCGCAUGGUUCAAUAGUGAAAGACGGUUUUGCUGUCACUUAUAGAUGGAUCCGCGCUGCAUUAGCUAGUUGGUAAGGUAACGGCUUACCAAGGCAACGAUGCGUAGCCGACCUGAGAGGGUGAUCGGCCACACUGGAACUGAGACACGGUCCAGACUCCUACGGGAGGCAGCAGUAGGGAAUCUUCCGCAAUGGGCGAAAGCCUGACGGAGCAACGCCGCGUGAGUGAUGAAGGUCUUCGGAUCGUAAAACUCUGUUAUUAGGGAAGAGCAAAUGUGUAAGUAACUAUGCACGUCUUGACGGUACCUAAUCAGAAAGCCACGGCUAACUACGUG